AUGUUUCAUCUGCUCUACAAGGGAGUCCCAUUUCAGGUGUGGGGCUGGGCAUGGUCACUCCUGCUGGAUGUCUGGAAGGUGAAAACCAAGGACCUAGGGAAAUACCAGGUACAGCCUUUCCACCCUCAUCCAGAGCAGGACAAACAGGCCAGGUGGUAUCAGGAGCCCAGGUCUCCAGCUGGAGGGAAUGUCAACCCUGCAGUGGGAGUCCAUCACGCAUCCUAGGCACAGAUGCUAAUGUAGGCACCGCGGACCAUAAAGGAAAACAGCAAGAGGUCCCCAGCAAACAUCUACAGAUGGCCCUGGACAUCAGCCACAUUCUGAGAAACAUGUCAUGUUCUGGGAGGGCUAAGGCAUCAAGCUCACCCUGCAGGAAUCCCAGUGAAUAUAUUGCCACCAUCUUGGAGCUCAGUGCCCUCUUAGUGUAA
rnacentral:lncRNA from 1 species